rnacentral:tRNA from 1 species
GUACUUCCAACAAUUCCCUUGGUAAGGGUGAGGUCGGUGGUUCAAUCCCACUCGGCAGCACCA